AAAUGAGCAAAGCGAUCAGGGUUGCUGGCUUAAACAAUUUCAGCAAACGACAAGUCAUUAGGGCUUUUGAAAUGUCACCCAUUUUACUCUGUAUAUUUAAUGAAAUGCUAAUGUAAUUUUGCUAAACAUGCAUACACCUUUAAACAUUAAAGAUUAGUUUUGCCUGCUUUCAUUUAUUUAUUUUAGAGUAUGUGGGGGGCGAUUCUUGCUAUGUUGCCCAAGCUGGUCUCCAACUCCUGGCCUCAAGUGAUCCUCCCACCUCAGCCUUCUGAGUCACUGGGAUUACAGGCUUGAGCUACAUGCCUGGCUCUGCUUUUGAUUAAUGUGUCAUUUAAGUCUCUUUCAUCUAAACAUCCUUCCUCAUCUUCAUUUCUUUGCAAACUUUUUUGCAAUUUGUUAGUUGUAGAACAUAGGUCAUUUGAUCCACAGAACGUCCUGUAGUCUGGGUUUCUUGUAAAUCGGUAGUUACAUAGCUUGAUAAUGUUCCAGUUCUUUUUGGGGAGAUGGGGAGAAAUACAAAGGAAGUGAUGUGUUCCUCCAACAAGGG
rnacentral:lncRNA from 1 species